UACAGAGGGUGCGAGCGUUAAUCGGAAUUAUUGGGCGUAAAGGGCAUGUAGGUGGUUUUAAAAGUUUGAUGUGAAAUCCCUGGGCUUAACCUGGGAAUUGCGUUGAAAACUGUAAGACUAGAGUCGGAGAGAGGGUAGUGGAAUUUCCGGUGUAGCGGUGAAAUGCGUAGAUAUCGGAAAGAACAUCAGUGGCGAAGGCGGCUACCUGGAUCCAGACUGACACUGAGGUGCGAAAGCGUGGGGAGCAAACAGG
rnacentral:rRNA from 1 species